ACAAGGCUUUCUGCCACUAGAAGAGGCAGAGGAGGGAAACCUGAACUCCUGAGUGAAUGCUAAAUAGUGCAUGGAAUUGGAGAGGUACCAUGACCCUUGCAAGGAGAUGGAGUAGGUGCCUAAGGAAAAGCUGAAGAUCUGGAAUUCCACACAAGCUUAGCCAUGAUCCAUAUGAUGGGGCGAUGUAGCCGAGCUGUGGGCUGACCGAGGUUUGCAUCACUGCCCUGACCCAGAUUGCAUCUGCAGUCAUCUGGAACUGACUACAUGCCUGAACUGAUAAAAGAGGCUGUGGAAAUAAGGAUCUCUGGGGCCUUGGCAAGGUGCUUGUGCCAUAUCCACCUGUCCUCUGGAAGACAAAAGAGUGAAGAUCAGCAGUGUGUCAUUUAUUCUGCAAAAACUGAACAGAUGAGAACUGCUGUGACAGCCAAUAGAAGAAAUUAAAAAUUAAGAAAAGGCUGGUAUGGAACAAGAGGAAAAUUAUCCCAGCAUUUUGCACUUUUUUGUAAUCAAAGUCCUGUCUUUGGAGGGUGUUAUAUCAACUACACACUUGGUGAGGCCUGUAGGGAUUUUCCUUGUGUAACGCCUGCAGGAUUUAGCCUUAGCAUGUCACACUAUUAUAAGAGUGAUGUCCAGUAAGCAAUAGGUGGACUCUCUUGGGAAAAACACAGGAAGAAAACUUGGUGAGAGCUGGAUCCUCUGCAGUGUCACCUCUCAUGAAGGAUUGACAAAAGGAAAAAAAAAAAAAGGAGUGAACUAAUAUUAGAAGGAUGGAUUG